GACGAACGCUGGCGGCGUGCUUAACACAUGCAAGUCGAGCGGAGCGGCGAACGGGUGAGUAACGCGUGAGUAACUGCCCCCCUCUCUGGGAUAACAGUUGGAAACGGCUGCUAAUACCGGCUAGUGGGGGCUGACUCGAGGCCUAUCAGCUUGUUGGUGGGGUAGUGGCCUACCAAGGCGACGACGGGUAGCCGGCCUGAGAGGGCGACCGGCCACAUGGGGCUGAGAUACGGCCCAAACGCCUACGGGAGGCAUCAGUGGGGAAUAUUGCCCAAUGGGGGAAACCCUGAUGCAGCAACGCGCGUGCGUGAUGACGGUCUUCGGGUUGUAAACGGCUUUCAGCCAUGACGCGGUAGUGGCAGAAUAAGCACCGGCUAACUACGUGCCAGCCGCCGCGGUAAUUC
rnacentral:rRNA from 1 species